GGAGCACCUGGAAAGAUCAGGGUUGGAGGAAAAGGCAGCCAAGCAUGGCACGAAGUGGACCUGGACGAUCCAUCCUGCGGACUCGCCUCAUAGAAAUGGAGCAGCUGAGGCGGCAGUGCGAACUGUAAAGAGAGCACUCCAGAACGUAGGGGGCAAUGGAGUCUUCACAUGGGGAGAAUUCCAGACGUUUGUGUAUAUGGCAGCCAAUCUGGCCAAUGAGAGGCCUGUAGAUGCGAGAGCACAAAGCCAAGAAGAUUGUGUGGAGUAUAUCACUCCAAACUCCCUCCUGCUGGGGCGGUCGAGCUUGAGAGGAGACCCAGGAGACUUCCAAUUUGAAGGUUACCCCUACAAAAGGCUGCGAGUGAUCCAGUCAGAGGUAAAUAAGUUUUGGAAGAAGUGGUGUCAAUUGGCAGGCCCGAACCUCUUCGUUAGAAGCAAAUGGCACACGAAGGAGAGGAAUGUUGCAGUAGGAGAUGUUGUGUGGCUUGCGGAUCAGAACGCCUUAAGAGGUCAGUUCAAAGUAGGCAGAGUGAUCAGUGCAUGUCCUGACGAGAAAGGAGUCGUGAGAGACGUCAAAGUCAGGACGUUUCCCAGCUAUCCAGUCAUGAUCAAGAAGCCAUCCCAUGAAGAACAUAGUAGGAGUACUCCAGCAGCAAAGAACAACAAGAUCCCUGCUACAGUCCUACACAGAGACGUCAGACGUCUUGUUGUGUUGAUUCCUGUGGAGGAGCAAUGAAGAGAAGAUCCGGCACGCUCCAGAGAAACAGGACGUGACCUCCUUGGGUUCUGGAACCAGGAGCUCAAGUGGGAGGUGUGCUGCUGUAUCGCAAGUGGAAAGGGACUUUUGUUUUGAGUGAAAAAAAAAAAAGAGACUUUUAUUUUGAAAAGGGAAGUGGAGACUUUACAGUUCUCAUGCCAGAAAGCAGGAAGUGCAGAGCUAUCUUCAAGCACAUGUAGUAAGAAGCUGUGAAGUUUAGCUGAGAAGCACAUGGUGAAUUAUUAUUGAAGAUAAAGGGUGAAGUGGGGAAAUACUUUACUUGCUGGGCAUUUCCAGGGAUGCUACUGGUUUUCAACCUGACGCAAUCUGACAUAGCCUGAUGUAAACUGAUUUAAUCUGAGUUAAACUUCUGAUUAUUUG